CCUACGGGAGGCAGCAGUAGGGAAUAUUGCUCAAUGGGGGAAACACUGAAGCAGCAACGCCGCGUGGAGGAUGAAGGUUUUCGGUUUGUUAACUCCUUUUGUUCGAGGAGAUAAUGACGGUAUCUAACGAAUAAGCACCGGCUCAAUCCGUGCCACAAGCCGCGGUAAUACGGAGGGUGCAAGCGUUACUCGGAAUCAGUGGGCGUAAUGAGGGCGGAGGCGGGAUAGCAAGUCAGAUGUGAAAGCCUAUGGCUUAACCCUAGAACUGCAUUUGAAACUGGUAUUCUAGAGUAUGGGAGAGGUAGGUGGAAUUCUUGGUGUAGGGGUAAAAUGCGUAGAGAUCAAGAGGAAUACUCAUUGCGAAGGCGACCUGCUAGAACAUAACUGACGCUGAUGCGCGAAAGCGUGGGGAGCAAACAGGAUUAGAUACCCCAGUAGUC
rnacentral:rRNA from 1 species